rnacentral:rRNA from 1 species
UACGAAGGGGGCUAGCGUUGUUCGGAAUUACUGGGCGUAAAGCGCACGUAGGCGGAUAUUUAAGUCAGGGGUGAAAUCCCAGAGCUCAACUCUGGAACUGCCUUUGAUACUGGGGAUCUCGAGUCCGGAAGAGGUGAGUGGAACUGCGAGUGUAGAGGUGAAAUUCGUAGAUAUUCGCAAGAACACCAGUGGCGAAGGCGGCUCACUGGUCCGGUACUGACGCUGAGGUGCGAAAGCGUGGGGAGCAAACAGG